rnacentral:rRNA from 1 species
CGGACGGGUGAGUAAUGUCUGGGAAACUGCCCGAUGGAGGGGGAUAACUAUUGGAAACGGUAGCUAAUACCGCAUAACGUCGCAAGACCAAAGAGGGGACCUUCGGGCCUCUUGCCAUCGGAUGUGCCCAGAUGGGAUUAGCUAGUAGGUGGGGUAACGGCUCACCUAGGCGACGAUCCCUAGCUGGUCUGAGAGGAUGACCAGCCACACUGGAACUGAGACACGGUCCAG